ACUGGGAUAUUAUUUUAAGAGCAAAUACAUGUACAUUCCUAAUGUUGCUUGAAUGGGAAUUAUCAAACCAAUGAGAGUUUGGGUUGCUAUUUCUGACCAAGUUUGAACUGGGAAGUACCAGGAGUCCCAUAGGAAAUCUUAUCUCACCGGAAGACGAUCAUGGUCUCUUAGCCAAAGAAUGGGGGUGAGACACACCUCAAAUGACAGAAUCCCACCUCAAGCUUUCUCUCC
rnacentral:lncRNA from 1 species